rnacentral:rRNA from 1 species
UGGGGAAUUUUGGACAAUGGGCGCAAGCCUGAUCCAGCCAUGCCGCGUGCGGGAAGAAGGCCUUCGGGUUGUAAACCGCUUUUGUCAGGGAAGAAAUCUUCUGAGUUAAUACCUCGGGAGGAUGACGGUACCUGAAGAAUAAGCACCGGCUAACUACGUGCCAGCAGCCGCGGUAAUACGUAGGGUGCAAGCGUUAAUCGGAAUUACUGGGCGUAAAGCGUGCGCAGGCGGUUUUGUAAGACAGAGGUGAAAUCCCCGGGCUCAACCUGGGAACUGCCUUUGUGACUGCAAGGCUUGAGUGCGGCAGAGGGGGGAUGGAAUUCCGCGUGUAGCAGUGAAAUGCGUAGAUAUGCGGAGGAACACCGAUGGCGAAGGCAAUCCCCUGGGCCUGCACUGACGCUCAUGCACGAAAGCGUGGGGAGCAAAACAGGAUUAGAUACCCUGGUAGUCCACGCCCUAAACGAUGUCAACUGGUUGUUGGGAAGGUUCCUUCUCAGUAACGUAGCUAACGCGUGAAGUUGACCGCCUGGGGAGUACGGCCGCAAGGUUGAAACUCAAAUGAAUUGACGGGGUCAUAGCUGUUU